AAUGGGCCUCAGGAAAGGCAGAAGCCUCAAGCUUGCCCAACUGGGCAGAGGGAUCCUCCUCCUGGCAUAGCUGCCCCAGGUCCCUCAGGCACUCUUCAGCAGCCCUGUUCUCCAGACCCUCCACCAGCUUCAUUGCCUGGACACACUCCAGCCCUCAAUGCCCUGCUUGGCAUGAGGACCCCAAAACUGACCCCAGGAUUUGAGGUAUGGCCUCAGCAGUGCCCAGUACAGGGGCACCAUCCCUUCCCUGUUGCUGAUCAUGGAGCUGCCACCCCACGGAGACUUCCAGGAGUAUCCUGCACUGAAGAGUUGCUGCCAUUAGCUGGGGUUGCACCAAACCAAGCUCGGCAAAGUGGCAGGAGCAACAAGAGAGGGGGAGGGGGGAACAAAAGCGUCGUUAUUAAUGACAGUACCAAAUCCUCUGCUUCGCAGUGCCUGAUGCUGUUUGGCUCCUCCCCGGUGCCAGCAGUCUGUGCCACCUCUGGCUCAUGUUCCAGCCUAUUUCUCGGGUUGAUUCCUGCUUCCCAUAUUUUUAGCAGCAGAGGAUCUCUAAUCGUGGGGGAAUUGUUUUCUGGAGUGAUUAUUUCUCUCGGGCCCCCAGAAGCCAAGCCAAAGGUCUCCUCUGAAGGGCUCUGCCAGUGCCUGCUAGCCCAGGGACAAACUCAGAGGCCGUUAAGGAGAAGGAUGCUUCGUUUGGAUGAAACGACUGAUCCCUGCCCUCUGCUGAGCCCACAGGGACUUUUGGCUGGGGAUGAUAAAUCCAGGCUGUGACUGGAGAGAGCAGCCUGCCCUCCCCAGGGCUGGGAAUGCAGGAUCUAGCUGCAGCAGGGCUGUGAUGAGUGAAGUAAAUCAUGAGCAGAGAGAAGAGUUUUCAGCGCUGCAGUGCUUCCUUUGUCCUGCUUAGCAGGAGCAAUUGGUUUGGUUUGGGGUUUUCUUCUGAUGCUCCAGAGUUAGCUGCCCAGCUGCUGUGCCCUGCAUGAUUCCUUCACUAAGGAAGCAGCAAACUGGAGAGCAGACAUGUAAAUUCAGGCUUGGUUUGGGUGAUUUUAAUCCCUAGGAUGCUGGCAUUAAGCAGUCAGGAACUUGGAAAGCCCUGGUAAGAGUUUAGGAGCUGUGGCUGUGGAGCUAAGCGAAACAUGGACCUGGAACUUGUUCCCCUCUGAGGAACCAGGAUGUGCUGCUCUUUGAGUACAAAGCUCUGUGGUUUUGUGUC